rnacentral:tRNA from 1 species
UCUUCGAUAGCUCAGUUGGUAGAGUGGAGGACUGUAGAUCCUUAGGUCGCUGGUUUGACUCUGGCUCGAAGGA